GAGUAGGGCGGGACACGUGGUAUCCUGUCUGAAUAUGGGGGGACCAUCCUCCAAGGCUAAAUACUCCUGACUGACCGAUAGUGAACCAGUACCGUGAGGGAAAGGCGAAAAGAACCCCGGCGAGGGGAGUGAAAAAGAACCUGAAACCGUGUACGUACAAGCAGUGGGAGCACCCUUUGGGUGUGACUGCGUACCUUUUGUAUAAUGGGUCAGCGACUUAUAUUCUGUAGCAAGGUUAACCGAAUAGGGGAGCCGGAGGGAAACCGAGUCUUAACCGGGCGUUAAGUUGCAGGGUAUAGACCCGAAACCCGGUGAUCUAGCCAUGGGCAGGUUGAAGGUUGGGUAACACUAACUGGAGGACCGAACCGACUAAUGUUGAAAAAUUAGCGGAUGACCUGUGGCUGGGGGUGAAAGGCCAAUCAAACCGGGAGAUAGCUGGUUCUCCCCGAAAGCUAUUUAGGUAGCGCCUCGUGAAUUCAUCUCCGGGGGUAGAGCACUGUUUCGGCUAGGGGGCCAUCCCGGCUUACCAACCCGAUGCAAACUGCGAAUACCGGAGAAUGUUAUCACGGGAGACACACGGCGGGUGCUAACGUCCGUCGUGAAGAGGGAAACAACCCAGACCGCCAGCUAAGGUCCCAAAGUCAUGGUUAAGUGGGAAACGAUGUGGGAAGGCCCAGACAGCCAGGAUGUUGGCUUAGAAGCAGCCAUCAUUUAAAGAAAGCGUAAUAGCUCACUGGUCGAGUCGGCCUGCGCGGAAGAUGUAACGGGGCUAAACCAUGCACCGAAGCUGCGGCAGCGACACUGUGUGUUGUUGGGUAGGGGAGCGUUCUGUAAGCCUGUGAAGGUGUGUCGUGAGGCAUGCUGGAGGUAUCAGAAGUGCGAAUGCUGACAUAAGUAACGAUAAAGCGGGUGAAAAGCCCGCUCGCCGGAAGACCAAGGGUUCCUGUCCAACGUUAAUCGGGGCAGGGUGAGUCGACCCCUAAGGCGAGGCCGAAAGGCGUAGUCGAUGGGAAACGGGUUAAUAUUCCCGUACUUGGUGUUACUGCGAAGGGGGGACGGAGAAGGCUAUGUUGGCCGGGCGACGGUUGUCCCGGUUUAAGCGUGUAGGUGUGUGUUCCAGGUAAAUCCGGUUCACUUUAACACUGAGGCGUGACGACGAGGCACUACGGUGCUGAAGCAACAAAUGCCCUGCUUCCAGGAAAAGCCUCUAAGCAUCAGGUAACAUCAAAUCGUACCCCAAACCGACACAGGUGGUCAGGUAGAGAAUACCAAGGCGCUUGAGAGAACUCGGGUGAAGGAACUAGGCAAAAUGGUGCC
rnacentral:rRNA from 1 species